CGGACGGGUGAGUAAUGUCUGGGAAACUAGCCUGAUGGAGGGGGGUAACUACUGGAAACGGUAGCUAAUACCGCAUAACGCCGCAAGACCAAAGAGGGGGACCUUCGGGCCUCUUGCCAUCGGAUGUGCCCAGAUGGGAUUAGCUAGUAGGUGGGGUAAAGGCUCACCUAGGCGACGAUCCCUAGCUGGUCUGAGAGGAUGACCAGCCACACUGGAACUGAGACACGGUCCAG
rnacentral:rRNA from 1 species